rnacentral:rRNA from 1 species
GACGAACGCUGGCGGCGUGCUUAACACAUGCAAGUCGAACGGAAAGGCCCUGCUUUUGUGGGGUGCUCGAGUGGCGAACGGGUGAGUAACACGUGAGUAACCUGCCCUUGACUUUGGGAUAACUUCAGGAAACUGGGGCUAAUACCGGAUAGGAGCUCCUGCUGCAUGGUGGGGGUUGGAAAGUUUCGGCGGUUGGGGAUGGACUCGCGGCUUAUCAGCUUGUUGGUGGGGUAGUGGCUUACCAAGGCUUUGACGGGUAGCCGGCCUGAGAGGGUGACCGGCCACAUUGGGACUGAGGUACGGCCCAGACUCCUACGGGAGGCAGCAGUGGGGAAUAUUGCACAAUGGGCGGAAGCCUGAUGCAGCAACGCCGCGUGCGGGAUGACGGCCUUCGGGUUGUAAACCGCUUUCGCCUGUGACGAAGCGUUAGUGACGGUAAUGGGUAAAGAAGCACCGGCUAACUACGUG